AAUCCAUAGGUUAAUGAGGCGAACCGGGGGAACUGAAACAUCUAAGUACCCCGAGGAAAAGAAAUCAACCGAGAUUCCCCCAGUAGCGGCGAGCGAACGGGGAGGAGCCCAGAGCCUGAAUCAGCAUGUGUGUUAGUGGAAGCGUCUGGAAAGGCGCGCGAUACAGGGUGACAGCCCCGUACACAAAAGCGCAUGUGCUGUGAGCUCGAUGAGUAGGGCGGGACACGUGGUAUCCUGUCUGAAUAUGGGGGGACCAUCCUCCAAGGCUAAAUACUCCUGACUGACCGAUAGUGAACCAGUACCGUGAGGGAAAGGCGAAAAGAACCCCGGCGAGGGGAGUGAAAAAGAACCUGAAACCGUGUACGUACAAGCAGUGGGAGCACCCUUUGGGUGUGACUGCGUACCUUUUGUAUAAUGGGUCAGCGACUUAUAUUCUGUAGCAAGGUUAACCGAAUAGGGGAGCCGGAGGGAAACCGAGUCUUAAUUGGGCGUUAAGUUGCAGGGUAUAGACCCGAAACCCGGUGAUCUAGCCAUGGGCAGGUUGAAGGUUGGGUAACACUAACUGGAGGACCGAACCGACUAAUGUUGAAAAAUUAGCGGAUGACCUGUGGCUGGGGGUGAAAGGCCAAUCAAACCGGGAGAUAGCUGGUUCUCCCCGAAAGCUAUUUAGGUAGCGCCUCGUGAAUUCAUCUCCGGGGGUAGAGCACUGUUUCGGCUAGGGGGCCAUCCCGGCUUACCAACCCGAUGCAAACUGCGAAUACCGGAGAAUGUUAUCACGGGAGACACACGGCGGGUGCUAACGUCCGUCGUGAAGAGGGAAACAACCCAGACCGCCAGCUAAGGUCCCAAAGUCAUGGUUAAGUGGGAAACGAUGUGGGAAGGCCCAGACAGCCAGGAUGUUGGCUUAGAAGCAGCCAUCAUUUAAAGAAAGCGUAAUAGCUCACUGGUCGAGUCGGCCUGCGCGGAAGAUGUAACGGGGCUAAAC
rnacentral:rRNA from 1 species